rnacentral:rRNA from 1 species
UACGGAGGGUGCAAGCGUUGUUCGGAAUUACUGGGCGUAAAGCGUGCGUAGACGGUUGCGUAAGUCGGAUGUGAAAUCCCCGGGCUCAACCUGGGAAUUGCAUUCGAGACUGCGUAGCUGGGGUGCGGAAGAGGGAAGCGGAAUUUCCGGUGUAGCGGUGAAAUGCGUAGAUAUCGGAAGGAACAUCAGUGGCGAAAGCGGCUUCCUGGUCCAGCACCGACGUUCAGGCACGAAAGCGUGGGGAGCAAACAGG